rnacentral:misc_RNA from 1 species
GAAACCAGCCAGCCGACUGUGGGGUGCGCCUACGCCACUCCACAACUCCUUGUCUCCCUGCCUCUCGUCGUGAUCGCUCUUGCGAGCCUCCCCCGACGAGCUUCGACCUGGGAGUGGCUUCUUCCUGUGAGAAGAAGCGCGUGUCCCUAGAAAGGAGGUGAUCCAGCCGCACCUUCCGGUACGGCUA